rnacentral:rRNA from 1 species
UUNAUCCUGGCUCAGGACGAACGCUNGCGGCAUGCCUNAUACAUGCAAGUCGAGCGGAAUGAUGAGAGCUUGCUNUCUNAUUUUAGCGGCGGACGGGUNAGUAACACGUGGGCAACCUGCCCUACAGAUGGGGAUAACUCCGGGAAACCGGNGCUNAUACCGAAUAAUCAGUUUGUCCGCAUGGACAAACUCUGAAAGACGGUUUCGGCUNUCACUNUAGGAUGGGCCCGCGGCGCAUUAGCUNGUUGGUGGGGUNAUGGCCUACCAAGGCGACGAUGCGUAGCCGACCUGAGAGGGUNAUCGGCCACACUGGGACUGAGACACGGCCCAGACUCCUACGGGAGGCAGCAGUAGGGAAUCUUCCNCNAUGGACGAAAGUCUGAUGGAGCNAUGCCGCGUGAGCGAAGAAGGUUUUCGGAUCGUNAAGCUNUGUUGUAAGGGAAGAACNAGUACGGGAGUNACUGCCNGUGCCNUGACGGUACCUUAUUAGAAAGCCACGGCUNACUACGUGCCAGCAGCCGCGGUNAUACGUAGGUGGCNAGCGUUGUCCGGAAUUAUUGGGCGUNAAGCGCGCGCAGGCGGUUCUUUAAGUCUNAUGUGAAAGCCCACGGCUCAACCGUGGAGGGUCAUUGGAAACUGGAGAACUUGAGUACAGAAGAGGAAAGCGGAAUUCCACGUGUAGCGGUNAAAUGCGUAGAGAUGUGGAGGAACACCAGUGGCGAAGGCGGCUNUCUNGUCUGUAACUGACGCUGAGGCGCGAAAGCGUGGGGAGCAAACAGGAUUAGAUACCCUNGUNGUCCACGCCGUNAACGAUGAGUGCUNAGUGUUAGGGGGUUUCCGCCCCUUAGUGCUNCACUAACGCAUUAAGCACUCCGCCUNGGGAGUACGGCCGCAAGGCUNAAACUCAAAGGAAUUGACGGGGGACCGCACNAGCGGUGGAGCNUGUNGUUUNAUUCGAAGNNACGCGAAGAACCUUACCAGGUCUUGACNUCCCACUNACCGGUNUAGAGAUACAUCUNUCUUCGGGGACAGUGGUGACNGGUGGNGCAUNGUUGUCGUCAGCUNGUGUCGUGAGAUGUUGGGUUAAGUCCCGCAACGAGCGCAACCCUUGAUCUUAGUUGCCAGCAUUNAGUUGGGCACUCUAAGGUGACUGCCGGUGAUAAACCGGAGGAAGGUGGGGAUGACGUNAAAUCAUCAUGCCCCUUAUGACCUNGGCUACACNCGUGCUACNAUGGAUGAUACNGAGGGUUGCCAACCCGCGAGGGGGAGCCAAUCCCAUAAAAUCAUUCCCAGUUCGGAUUGGAGGCUGCAACUCGCCUNCAUGAAGCCGGAAUCGCUAGUAAUCGUGGAUCAGCAUGCCACGGUNAAUACGUUCCCGGGUNUUGUACACACCGCNCGUCACACCNCGAGAGUUUGUAACACCC